CCUACGGGCGGCAGCAGUGGGGAAUAUUGCACAAUGGGGGAAACCCUGAUGCAGCAACGCCGCGUGAGUGAGGAAGUAUUUCGGUAUGUAACGCUCUAUCAGCAGGGAAUAGAAAAGAAGGUACCUGAAAAAGAAGCCCCGGCUAACUACGUGCCAGCAGCCGCGGUAAUACGUAGGGGGCAAGCGUUAUCCGGAUUUACUGGGUGUAGAGGGAGCGUAGACAGAAAGGCAAGUCAGAAGUGAACACCCAAGGCUCAACCAUGGGACUGCUUUUGAACCUGUCAAACUAGGGUACGGGAGAGGUAAGAGGAAUUCCUAGUGUAGCGGUGACAUGCGUAGAUAUUAGGAGGAACACCAUUGGCGAAGGCGUCUUACUGGACCGAAACUGACGUGGAAGCUCGAAAGCGUGGGGAGCCAACAGGAUUAGAUACCCUUGUAGUC
rnacentral:rRNA from 1 species